rnacentral:rRNA from 1 species
GAUGAACGCUGGCGGCGUGCCUAAUACAUGCAAGUCGAGCGGAAAGGCCCUUCGGGGUACUCGAGCGGCGGACGGCUGAGUAACGCGUAGGAACGUACCGCAAAGUGCGGGAUAACUGCUCGAAAGAGUAGCCAAUACCGCAUCUGCUCGUCGGAGUAAAGCUUCGGCUCUUUGGGAACGGCCUGCGUCCGAUUAGCUAGUUGGUGCGGUAAUUGCUCACCAAGGCGACGAUAGGUAGCUGGUCUGAGAGGAUGAUCAGCCAGACUGGGACUGAGACACGGCCCAGACUCCUACGGGAGGCAGCAGUAGGGAAUUUUCCACAAUGGGCGAAAGCCUGAUGGAGCAACGCCGCGUGCAGGAUGAAUGCCUUCGGGUUGUAAACUGCUUUUAUAGGUGAAGAAUAUGACGGUAACCUAUGAAUAAGGAUCGGCUAACUCCGUGCCAGCCGCCGCCGUAA